rnacentral:rRNA from 1 species
UAGCGAAAGACGGGUGAGAAUCCCGUCCACCGAUUGACUAAGGUUUCCAGAGGAAGGCUCGUCCGCUCUGGGUUAGUCGGGUCCUAAGCUGAGGCUGACAGGCGUAGGCGAUGGAUAACAGGUUGAUAUUCCUGUACCACCUAUAAUCGUUUUAAUCGAUGGGGGGACGCAGUAGGAUAGGCGAAGCGUGCGAUUGGAUUGCACGUCUAAGCAGUAAGGCUGAGUAUUAGGCAAAUCCGGUACUCAUUAAGGCUGAGCUGUGAUGGGGAGAAGACAUUGUGUCUUCGAGUCGUUGAUUUCACACUGCCGAGAAAAGCCUCUAGAUAGAAAAUAGGUGCCCGUACCGCAAACCGACACAGGUAGUCAAGAUGAGAAUUCUAAGGUGAGCGAGCGAACUCUCGUUAAGGAACUCGGCAAAAUGACCCCGUAACUUCGGGAGAAGGGGUGCUCUUUAGGGUUAACGCCCAGAAGAGCCGCAGUGAAUAGGCCCAAGCGACUGUUUAUCAAAAACACAGGUCUCUGCUAAACCGUAAGGUGAUGUAUAGGGGCUGACGCCUGCCCGGUGCUGGAAGGUUAAGAGGAGUGGUUAGCUUCUGCGAAGCUACGAAUCGAAGCCCCAGUAAACGGCGGCCGUAACUAUAACGGUCCUAAGGUAGCGAAAUUCCUUGUCGGGUAAGUUCCGACCCGCACGAAAGGCGUAACGAUUUGGGCACUGUCUCAACGAGAGACUCGGUGAAAUCAUAGUACCUGUGAAGAUGCAGGUUACCCGCGACAGGACGGAAAGACCCCGUGGAGCUUUACUGUAGCCUGAUAUUGAAAUUCGGCACAGCUUGUACAGGAUAGGUAGGAGCCUUUGAAACGUGAGCGCUAGCUUACGUGGAGGCGCUGGUGGGAUACUACCCUAGCUGUGUUGGCUUUCUAACCCGCACCACUUAUCGUGGUGGGAGACAGUGUCAGGCGGGCAGUUUGACUGGGGCGGUCGCCUCCUAAAAGGUAACGGAGGCGCUCAAAGGUUCCCUCAGAAUGGUUGGAAAUCAUUCAUAGAGUGUAAAGGCAUAAGGGAGCUUGACUGCGAGACCUACAAGUCGAGCAGGGUCGAAAGACGGACUUAGUGAUCCGGUGGUUCCGCAUGGAAGGGCCAUCGCUCAACGGAUAAAAGCUACCCCGGGGAUAACAGGCUUAUCUCCCCCAAGAGUUCACAUCGACGGGGAGGUUUGGCACCUCGAUGUCGGCUCAUCGCAUCCUGGGGCUGUAGUCGGUCCCAAGGGUUGGGCUGUUCGCCCAUUAAAGCGGUACGCGAGCUGGGUUCAGAACGUCGUGAGACAGUUCGGUCCCUAUCCGUCGUGGGCGUAGGAAAUUUGAGAGGAGCUGUCCUUAGUACGAGAGGACCGGGAUGGACAUACCUCUGGUGUACCAGUUGUCGUGCCAACGGCAUAGCUGGGUAGCUAUGUGUGGACGGGAUAAGUGCUGAAAGCAUCUAAGCAUGAAGCCCCCCUCAAGAUGAGAUUUCCCAACUUCGGUUAUAAGAUCCCUCAAAGAUGAUGAGGUUAAUAGGUUCGAGGUGGAAGCAUGGUGACAUGUGGAGCUGACGAAUACUAAUCGAUCGAAGACUUAAUCAA